rnacentral:lncRNA from 1 species
GGGGUCAUCAGUAAGGCACUCAAUCACCUUAAUAUCCUGUGACACCCCUUAUAAGGCUGCUGUUAUGUUCUGGUGGUUGUCAGGAAUAAAUGUACAACAUUGCGUCUCUACAAGGGCACAGCUGCCACAUUGGGCAGCUCUGACCAUGUCUAAGGCCAUCCGGUUUUGCAGAACCAACUUCCUGAUCUGAUUGACUUCAUCAGUUAACAAAAAGGAGAGCAACUCGGGUGUAAUUCAGGGCCCAAACUGUGUGCUCUGCAAGGGCUGUAACUUGCAUUUCUACAGUAGCGACACCUGCUCUAGGGAUAGUUAUCGCUUAGGGGUAGAGUCACUAGGGGGCUUGCUGAACUCGUAAAAACCAGGAACAUAGCACCUUCCAGUUAGGUGGAUGACUAGGCAAUGUGGGAAACACAGUGGCAGGCACAGAAAGCCACCCCCAGGUACAACGUCCAGUCCAAUUGGCUGGUAGAUAUGGCCAUCCUGUGUCCCCACAGACCCAUAAACUCCCUGGGGGCAUAAAGUCCAUGAAGGUCCAGCCUUGGUAAGGCAACUUAUUCCACCACACCCUUGGUUUCGCGGCAUGUGUUAUGUUUGCACAAACCUCAGCAAUAAUCCCUCAGUGACUUUACCCCAGUGCUCCCCUAUACAUCAUGGUACCUGCAAUGGGGGCACCACAUGUUUUCCCGUUAGCCAGCCCCAUCCAUCAUGGACACUAUAAGUCAGCCAGUGGCAGGCUUGCCAUGGGUUUUGGGACGUCCCCCUAUCCAAAGCCCACCAUUGCAUUGUCUAUUGAACACCAAGUCUCUAGCCAUGUCCAGUUCUGCACAGAAGCUGGAUGCACGUUCCAGGGCAAGCUGCCUGCAGCUGCUGCUGAAAGGGUGGUGCAGAUACAACAGUUGAAGACAUUGGUCACCUCAGUGUAGGUGUGGGCCCAGAACAUGAUGCUGUUGGAGCAUGCCACCUAUGGCUGGAAUGACAAAGCAAGCACAGGUACUAACAGGGGUAAAUCAUGUCCCUCAGGCAAAAUACAGGCCAACUUUUCACCUCUCGAUAACAGUGCAGCCACCAAGGGCAUUUGCCCUGGGUGAUGAUACCACACCUUAUCAGCUCCCUGUGGUCCUUUUGGGUGCUGUACCCAUGCCAAACACACAGGGGAGCUUAUGCUAAGCCACACAGACAGUACACAUGCCCUCUGGAGGAGAGUCUCUUCCCUGGCCGUUCCCCUAUGCAUGGUUAAUUGUGGAGGCCACACAUUAAAUACCCAAGGAGUAACAUGUAAGUUAUACUGCAGCCCCUCCCCCCAGGGGGCUAUGAUAGCCAACCAUCUGCAAUGAGGUGCUUGGAGGGUCCAUGGCUAACACCAGGUUUUUCUGUUCCCCUGCCUUUAGGGGUACUGGGGCAGGCAAUAACAGAUUACUGUUCAACCCUGUACCUGGUUGGAGAAGGUUGUUCUUCCUCUCAUAGAUCUGGCCACAUGGCCUGGCCCUACAUGGGUCGAUGACUAACUAGCUAAUUCUGUAACUUCUAGGUAAUUAACCACAAAGUUAAGCCUUGAUAAAUUGCCUAGCUACUAGUACAGAUUACCACAGGUGUCAUCUCCUUGGUGAUCACAGUCCAUAUUGCCUUGAGUUCAACUUAUUAGCUACUUUAUUUACACCUGGUUUUAAACCAUAUUGUGUCAGUACUAGGCUGGACUGUAGCAGCAAUCCAGGCAGCAGCAGUACUCUGGCUAUACCUACCUGUAUACUAUGCCUCAUUAGGAAUGGGAGGAUGCCCUUCCUUAUGGUAAAGGCUCAGGGUCUAGAGGUGCCUCAGACCCCAUGACUUUAUCUUGCAUUAGGACUAUAGGCUUCAAGACCUAUUGUAAUUUUACUCCUAAGAGACCAGUACUCAGUGUACUCUGCUGCUCUAAGUAGGUGCCCCACUUCGCUAAAGUGGAUGUCUGUGCCUUCCCUAUCCAGGGGGUUGUUUCCCAUGAAUGCCCAAUCUCACAAUUACUAACUGCUUCUCUAUCAAGGAAUACUGGGGCUCAGCUCCCUUCCACAGCUGGGAACAAAAGCCUAUUGGCAUACUCAGGUGCUCUAUGCACUGCUAUAGGCCCUAACUGAAACUCUGUUGUCACAGGCACAUCUAGUUUAAAUGGGCACCUCUGGUCCACUACCCGUAUGGCUUGUGCCUGCUAAAUAGCCCGCUAGGCUACCAGAAAGACUGUCUCAGGAGCAUCAUCCCAAUCCCAGGCAAGAAGAACAUUGCCACUUCUAAAUCUGCAGGAGAAUCAGAGGUUAACAUGACAUCAUUAAUAAAAUAAUGACACGUGGUGGGGCUAUGAAUAUAGCCCUGCAGCAACACUGUGAAAGUCCAUUGUCACCCUCCCAUGAAAGCAAACUGUUCCUGCCUCUCUGGAACAAUGUCGACUGAGAGGAAUGCAUUGGUCAAUUCCACCACAUAGUGGCAUUGUCUCAGUUCUGUUGUCAAGAAGUUCAUCAAAUCCAUGAUAGAAGGUACAGAUACAUGCAGAAGGAGUAUUACUUUAUUCAGUUUCCGAUAAUCCACUGUUAUCUGCCAAAUCCCAUCAGGCUUUCUGACUGGCCAUAAUGGAAAAUGGUAGGGGCUAUGGAUGCCACACACUAUUUGCACCUCCUCUAACUUCUUAAUAGUCUCAGUUACCUCUGUAUUCCCCCCUGGCAAACGGUACUGAUGAGUGGAAGUAACCUGUCAGGGUUGUGGCAGAACUUGGGGCUGGUGAUGUGUAUGUUCACCCAGUACUGGCUUUACUGCAUGGACUCAGAAUCUGGAUUCUCUGGCCGUGGUGUGCAAGCCCAGACCAUGCAAAAUGUCCACCCCCAGAAUAUAUUCAGGUAUAGGAGAAACAUACACAGUGUACAGGUGGGGAGCCAAGCGGCCAAUGCCAAGAUGCAGAGACACAGGCUUCACCUUCACCGACUGGCUCCCAUAACCGUCCAUAAAUGCAGCUUUGCCUAGAAAUUUAUCUGGGUUCCCAUAAACUAGACUGCAGUCUGCACCAGUAUCUAUCAGUGCUAGGACCCGCGGUACAUUAGUGGGGGACCAGUGGAUUGCCAGCUCCACAUAUAGCCUCUGGUUGUCUAGUUCCCCCUGCCAAGCUGGCGACCUCGGCCAGUUCCCUAAUCAAACAAGAAAGGCUCUGUAUCUCUGCCUGUCUGCAAAUAGUCCUUGAGUUGCAGCGUCUGGGAGGGAUUAGGUUGAACAACAUUGUUUUGCCCCCCACACCUUAGGCAUUUUCUGGAAUUGCUGCUCCCGGGACAAUUGCCUUCACAGAGUCAACAACAUUCCAUUGGGUUGCCCGUCAAUUUUCUCCCGAGCAACCCCAGCUGCAAGUAAAUCAAUCCACAUCUGCAUGCAGGUCACCUCCUGGAGCCCCUUUUUAUCUGGUGGGGUGGUUAACUGCGGAUGAGGCAUUUUCUCCCUCCUUACGGUGCGGAUUCUCCGGUCCUGCGAAUGGCCUUCUGCCUCCCUGAGGGCUGCCAGAGCAGUAGUCACUUCAUGUAUGCGGCACCCCACAUACUGGGUGAGAACAGCGGCUAGAAAGCCAUAAGGGUUCGGGGUGCUGAACUCAGCACAAGAUCCCUCAUGUGGGAGGUAAAGCGUUCAUCAUCUGGCCCCAUGGUAAUCAGACCAAACAUAGCCUGCCGCAUACCUAUCUCCAAGAGUAUCUGCACCAAAUUAGUAUGUGAUUGCCAUUUACUCACAGUUUGUAGUAUCUCUCUGGCAUCAUUGAAAACAGUCCAUAUGACUGUCAUUAGCCACUUGAUUAAUGUGUGGCCACCUUGCUCUUGUGCCAACCGUUGGCACAGCUGCAGCUGCUGACGAAGGGAGGGGUGAGUUGUGAUAGAAGUCAGCUUCUCCAUCUCAGAGGCGGAACAAAAAAUGCUAUCAGCUCCCUCAGACGCUGCCGGCACUAUUUACCUAAUUCCCACAACUCACUGGGGUUAUAAGCAUAAUAAGAGGCGUGUUCCACCACUGUGGACGGGGUCCCUGGGCUUUCCCCUAGGGUCCCAUCAGCUGCUUAUGUUCUACCUUCUGACGGAUCACAGGAGGAGCCUGCAGCGGAGGAGCCUCCUCCUCCUCAGCAUCAGACCUAAAGGGAGUGUCCUGCCUGAAGGACCGGCUCAAGGUCGCACUAACAGCUCUUGCUAACUCCUGUUCCAGGCUGUUUAUCUGGGCCUCCAAGUACCCUGCUUGCGCCUGGAGGUCUCUCACCCCCAGGUCCUGCUCAAAGCUGUGCACUUGGGCCCCCAGGCAUGCGGCUUGCUCCGGAAGGUCCCUUACCUGUGGCACUGAGCAUGUACUUCCUGCAGUGCAGUUAGAAAUGCCCAUCCGACUCUGCUUGCAAAGACAUCUGCAAUGGCAGUUCACAUGGCUCAGAUAGCUCACUUCUGCAGAGAGCUGAAUUUAAGUGGGACAGGGUAGCAAGAAUAAUUACUUUGACAAUCAUUUUGCCACCUGAUGACUGUGCUGCCUGUCCUGAGCUGAGUGCAGAGAGGGAGACACCCUUACAAAUGGAGAUUUGCUGGAUAGAAAUGUGGCCAAAGAGUUCAAUAAAAGGUUCCUUUAUUUAUAGGCACAGCUGCUUAAAGACUGUUACCGGAAAGGAAUCCUGAUCCAGACGCCAAGAGAGGGUUCUUGGACUCAUGCAAGAAAGACUUCAGAAUACGAGUUUUGAAUUUUUGAAUUGCUGUUAAAACUUUCAUCAUGAACACUGAAGUGAGUGAAAAGAGACUUUUGCAGUCAUUUUUUUGGACAGAGAUCAUGGAAGUUGGGCCCGACUGGAUGAGAUUUGGGGGUCUUUGGAAGUGGAGAAUGUGUUUGCCCUGGGGAAGAGAGGUGAUGUCUAGGAGACCUCUUCACUCAGGGCAAGCUCUAUGACCUGCUUUGACUCCAGAAUGUGGUAGAAGUGGCAUCACAUAAAUUGCAGAGCCUAGGCUUCAAGAGACCUUGCAACUUGCCUCUCACUGACUUGAAGUGCUCCCAUCAGAGCAUCUUGUAAGGAGCAGGUGGAGCAUGUGGACAAGCCAUCCCCACCAGCCCCUGAGACAUGUGAGAGAGGCCAGAACAGGCCAUCCGGACCCCACUGUGCUGGUGGAUGAGACAGCAGAAGGAAUAUCAACCUACCAACAGAAUCCUGAGAAAUGCUCACUCUUACUUCAAGCUGCUGCAUUUUGAUGUUAUGAAACCAUAAAUAACUUAUGAAGUCAUCUUUGCUGACUUAAAGUUUUCCAUAACUUUAUUAUAACAUAUCAAAAUUAUGAAAAAUGUGAAAAGUAGAAAACUGAUGAAUUUUGCUUCUUCAUAUGGUCUUUAAGAAUCUCAAAGGCACUGAAGUUUUUUAUCUUUUCUGUCUUAGAAUAAAAAACCUUGAAUGAAAAUCUGCUUCUUGGAAAAGCAGCAAGGUUUAUGCAGAGGCAAUCUGGUAUUUGUGUGCACUGGCAGCUGAUCAUACCCAGCAUGCACGCACUCUCAGGGCAGAGUCUGAUGCCCCACAUAAUGGGGCAUGGUAAGGACUCCCAUGUCCUUGAGAUAAAAUGAUAAGGAAAAUACACACUGCUAUUAGAAUAACAGGCCCAGCUUCUGCACAUUUUAAUUCCCAAAGUUUUCAUGAAAGACAAUGAUUUUUUGGUACCAUGUUUAACUCUACAAGAAUCAGUAGUGAAAACUAAAAAUGAUACUUUGUGAAAGUUCAUUAAUUUUGUUUUCAGCCAGUGGUGGCCUUGGUCAGAUAGAAUCAAAUCUAUGAUACUUUUUAUCAGAAAUGCUUAUACUGUGUACAAACCCAAAGUGAUGGCUUUCAAAGAUUGAAUUUGAUUAUUUUCUGUAUGGUGCAGAUGAAAAAUUACUACACAGGAGAAGGUGGGUUGGAGGUGCUCACGAGUAACCAGGAAACAGUCUGAAGUUUUUCUGAUACUUCUCCUUGGUCCAACCAAAUGUGAGAUAUAAACACAAACUUGGGAUUCCGUUCUUAUGUUUUGGUUGUUUCAGUCUUUACAGAUGUAUCGAAAGGCUGUCCAAAAAUGUCUGACUUCUGUAGUGUGCCUUCGUAGCACUAGAGGGUUCUGCAGCUGUGAAACUGAAGGCAUUGGCAAGAAGCCCUCCAUCUUCAAACCACUUUCUGCUAAGGUGUGGCUCUAUAAAACCACUAUGAGCUGGGCUUCACUGAGACUGAGUUGUUUCAGUAGGAUCUUCCGGAAAAACAUGUUCCCUCCUUUACCUGGGUUGUCAUUCUGAGAACAAUCACACCUCCAAUUUUGGCUUACUAAGCAAUAGCGUUUUAAUGAUUUUAAGCCAGGAUUUGCUCCUCCUUUCCUCAGUAUGAGAGCUUAACCACUGGAGGAACCAAGAAUUCAUGCUGGUUGGGUUCUGAUUCCACUUUAACUUACUGUAUAGCCUCAUCCCUUGUUUUUCUGGAGAUUCUCUUUUUCUGCUUCACUGAUUUAUAUUUACAUUAAAAUCAAAUGAGGCCAUGUUUCUGAAAUCACAUUGUCCCUACAUGGUCAUUACAAUGAGUCUGUAAUGUGACUGAAAGACAGCCAUGGAUACAGGUAGAGGAUAUCAGGCAAUUGAAUGCUCAUCAAGCAUUCAAUUCAGGGCAAAUGGCAUAAGGUAUGCAGUUGGCCUCUUCUGAUAUCUGUGUCUUAAUCCUUUCUUUAGCCUCUGUUUUCUGGACCAAGGCUAAGAUAUUUUCUGGGCACAGUGGCUCAUGCCUAUAAUCCCAGCACUCUGGGAGGCCAAGGUGGGAGGAUUUCUUCAGCCC